rnacentral:rRNA from 1 species
UACGUAGGGAGCAAGCGUUGUCCGGAAUCAUUGGGCGUAAAGCGCGCGUAGGCGGCCCUGUAAGUCCGUUGUGAAAGUCAAAGGCUCAACCUUUGAAAGCCGAUGGAUACUGCAGGGCUAGAGUCCGGAAGAGGCGAGUGGAAUUCCUGGUGUAGCGGUGAAAUGCGCAGAUAUCAGGAGGAACACCAAUGGCGAAGGCAGCUCGCUGGGACGGUAUUGACGCUGAGACGCGAAAGCGUGGGGAGCAAACAGG